rnacentral:rRNA from 1 species
UACGGAGGGUGCAAGCGUUAUCCGGAUUCACUGGGUUUAAAGGGUGCGUAGGUGGGCAGGUAAGUCAGUGGUGAAAUCUCCGGGCUUAACCCGGAACUGCCGUUGAUACUAUCUGUCUUGAAUAUCGUGGAGGUGAGCGGAAUAUGUCAUGUAGCGGUGAAAUGCUUAGAUAUGACAUAGAACAUCAAUUGCGAAGGCAGCUCGCUACACGGUUAUUGACACUGAGGCACGAAAGCGUGGGGAUCAAACAGG